rnacentral:rRNA from 1 species
GAGUUUGAUCCGUGGCUCAGGAUGAACGCUGGCGGCGUGCUUAACACAUGCAAGUCGAACGGUGAACUUGGGAGCUUGCUCCCGGGGGAUCAGUGGCGAACGGGUGAGUAACACGUGAGUAACCUGCCCUUGACUCUGGGAUAAGCACUGGAAACGGUGUCUAAUACCGGAUACGAGCUUCAGCCGCAUGGCUAGGAGCUGGAAAGAAUUUCGGUCAAGGAUGGACUCGCGGCCUAUCAGCUAGUUGGUGAGGUAAUAGCUCACCAAGGCGACGACGGGUAGCCGGCCUGAGAGGGUGGCCGGCCACACUGGGACUGAGACACGGCCCAGACUCCUACGGGAGGCAGCAGUGGGGAAUAUUGCACAAUGGGCGCAAGCCUGAUGCAGCAACGCCGCGUGAGGGACGACGGCCUUCGGGUUGUAAACCUCUUUUAGUAGGGAAGAAGCGAAAGUGACGGUACCUGCAGAAAAAGCACCGGCUAACUACGUG